rnacentral:lncRNA from 1 species
AUGCCACCCCUCUCCUGUGAUCAGCUGACCCACUGUGUGUUGCUAACAAAGCCCGUGCACUUUAAUCCGAAGGGUUCCUUUGGAGAACUUGAGCAAGAGCCAGAUUCCGGGGAACUUGAACUUAGCUGUUUGUGGAGGAAACAUAAGAUCCCAAAAGGGAAGGCCAGGAAAGGCAUGGCCCGGGCGCAGACCUAGACUUUCGGUGCUCCCUCCGAACAAGGCUGCCAGAAGGUCCCAGAAGGAUAGCCAGCUGUGCAAGAUCCAACACCAGGCCACACCGCAGUGUACCAUGAAAGAAGGUCUGGCAAAGCUUAUAGUUAGUCUGUGGCUAGUGUAACUGUUUAUGCGCUGUGCUUCUCUGUUAAAAGUAAAGCUGUAAAGUAGAUGACAAUUUGUCCCAGUUUCAGACUUUCUUCAUUUGCUGACAUAGUGGGAGCCCCCAGUGGUCUGGGUGGUGCUGGCCUUUGGGAACGGGGCAAAGCAGACUCCUCCUGUCACAGGAGCUUGGGACAGGUGGCUGGGUGGCUUUGC